GGGGGUAUAGCUCAGUGGUAGAGUGCAUGCCUAGCAUGCACGAGGUCCUGGGUUCAAUCCCCAGUACCUCCA
rnacentral:tRNA from 1 species